UGAUACCGCCCAAGAGUUCAUAUCGACGGCGGUGUUUGGCACCUCGAUGUCGGCUCAUCUCAUCCUGGGGCUGAAGCAGGUCCCAAGGGUAUGGCUGUUCGCCAUUUAAAGAGGUACGCGAGCUGGGUUUAGAACGUCGUGAGACAGUUCGGUCCCUAUCUACCGUGGGCGCUGGAAAUUUGAGAGGAUCUGCUCCUAGUACGAGAGGACCAGAGUGGACGAACCUCUGGUGUACCGGUUGUGACGCCAGUCGCAUCGCCGGGUAGCUAUGUUCGGAAGGGAUAACCGCUGAAAGCAUCUAAGCGGGAAGCCUACCUCAAGAUAAGAUUUCCCUAGGACUUUAUGUCCUCUAAAGAGCCGUUCGAGACUAGGACGUUGAUAGGUUGGAUGUGGAAGCAUAGUGAUAUGUGAAGCUGACCAAUACUAAUUGCUCGUGAGGCUUGACUAUACAACACCCAAGCAGUUG
rnacentral:rRNA from 1 species